AGUGGGAAAUCCUGUCAGGGUAUAAGAGUGUCGUCUGCAUAACUAAGGCUGAUUCAGGAGAAGGCCGAUAAUAGAGUGGGGAAAUCCUUCUGUCAGGGUAUAAGAGUGUCGUCUGUCAAACUGCUUCUCAAUUGGAGGUCAUCUAUUGGAGCUGUUAAGACAUUCUCAAGCAGCAUGAAGCUGUUGAUCAUGGCAGCUGCCUCUCUGGCAGUGGUGAGCUGUGCCAGCCUCUCUCUGGAGGACCUGGAGUUCCACGCAUGGAAACUCAAGUUUGGUAAGGUGUACCGGACCCCUGAGGAGGAGGCCCGGCGCAAAGACAUCUGGCUCUCCACCCGCCGCAGGGUUCUGACCCACAACAUCUUGGCUGACCAGGGCAUCAAGACCUACCGCACGGGCAUCAACCACUUCUCCGACAUGGAUGAUGAGGAAUACCGUGGUCUCCUGGGAGACUUGGCUCUUUCAAAUGUCACCGCAUCUCCACCUGAGCAGGGCGAUAUGUCCCUCAGACCCCAGCAGGGGGCAGAGCUGCCUGCAGCUGUAGACUGGAGGAAAUCUGGCUGUGUGACGGGUGUCAAAGAUCAAGGCUCCUGUGGAUCUUGCUGGGCCUUCAGUGUAACAGGUGCACUGGAGUCUCACACCUGCAUAUAUAAGGGAGGCCUGCCCUCUCUGAGUGAACAGCAGCUGGUGGACUGCUCCAGGUCCUAUGGGAAUGAGGGCUGCAAUGGAGGCUACAAGCACAAGGCUUUCCAGUACGUCAGUGACAACGGUGGCAUAGACACUGAAGCAUCUUAUCCCUAUGAGGGACAGGAUUCAUACUGCCGUUUCACAAAGUCGGGUAUUGGAGCCUACUGUCGUGGAUACAACAAGUUGCCGUAUGGAGAUGAAGGAACUUUACAGACGUAUUUGGCCAACGUGGGACCUGUGUCCGUUUCUGUUGAUGCUGGACACAAAUCCUUCCGUCAGUAUUCAUCUGGUGUCUACUAUGAGUCUGAUUGCAGUAGUUCUAAGACUAAUCAUGCCAUGUUGGCUGUGGGCUACGGAACUGAAGAUGGCCAGGACUACUGGCUGGUGAAGAACAGCUGGGGUGUCCGCUGGGGAGAACAGGGCUACAUCAAGAUGGCACGUAACCGGGGCAACCAGUGUGCCAUUGCUUGUUUUCCAGUUUAUCCUCUGGUCUGAAGAGAAUGUCUAAAGAACUGUCAGAGUUGUUUCCUGUUUCAAGACUGAUUGAUGGAUCAUGUGAGGACUCCGACACUUGAGUGUGCUUGGCUUUCCAUUCUUACGUUACAUUACAUUACAUUUAGCCGACACUUUUUGUCAAAAGUGACUUCCAUAUGUCAACUAUAUUACAUUGUCAUUAUAUUGUCCCCGGAGCAACUUGGGGUUACAGUAAGUGCCUUGCUCAAGGUCACAAAUUGGAAGCCAGGAAUUGAACCGACAACUUUCAGGCUACUGCACGCUGGUCCAGCUUUAUGGGGCAAAUAACCAUAUGUAGUCACUUCCGCACACACUGAAAAUUCCCUCCCUCUGCCUCCAUUUGGAGUUGUAGAGU